CCCCUAGAUGUUCCGGGCCGCACGCGCGCUACACUGAACAGUUCAACAAGUCUUAACCUUGGCCGAUAGGUCUGGGUAAUCUUUGAACGCUGUUCGUGAUUGGGAUAGACCUUUGCAAUUAUGGGUCUUCAACGAGGAAUUCCUAGUAAACGCAAGUCAUCAGCUUGCAUUGAUUACGUCCCUGCCCUUUGUACACACCGCCCGUCGCACCUACCGAUUGAAUGGUCCGGUGAAAUCUCGGGACGGCGGCUUGGUCGCUUGCGUCCGACUGCUGAAACUUGAUUAAACCAUNUNAUUUAGNGGAAGGUGAANUCGUANCA
rnacentral:rRNA from 1 species